GAGACUCUGUGCGCGUGCAUAUCAAUAAGCGGAGGAAAAGGAACUAACAAGGAUUCCCCUAGUAACGGCGAGUGAAGCGGGAAGAGCUCAAAUUUGAAAUCUUCAAGGGUUUACCUUGACGAAUUGUAGUUUAAAGAAGUGUUUUCUGUUAGAGAGGUGGUAAAAGUUCUUUGGAAUAGGACAUCAUAGAGGGUGAGAAUCCCGUAUUUGAUCACUUUCUACUAACGUUGUGAUACACUUUCAAAGAGUCGGAUUGUUUGGGAAUGCAGUCCAAAAUGGGUGGUAAAUUUCAUCUAAAGCUAAAUAUUGGCGAGAGACCGAUAGCGAACAAGUACCGUGAGGGAAAGAUGAAAAGAACUUUGAAAAGAGAGUUAAACAGUACGUGAAAUUGUCAAAAGGGAAGCGUUUGACACCAGUGUUGUUUUUCCGAAAAUCAAUUAAGAAUGGCCGGAUUUUAAGUUUCAUGACCUUAAAAGCUUGUUUCUUAUUUUUCUUGUCUUUCUUAAUGCACUUUUCGGUUAACAAGUCAACAUCAAUUUCUUUUGUUGUAAAAGGUUAAGAGGAAGGUGGCUUUACUUUCGGGUAAAGUGUUUAUAGCCUUUUAACUCUGCAAUCGGAGAGAUUGAGGUCUGCAGCGUAGAUCCUUCGGGGCUAGAUACGUUUGUGCUAAGUUAUAGCUUUUCAUAGACAACUUGUUGACUAUGUUUAGUCUUGUAGCUUACUCGCAUGCGCUAUUUUACCUACGCUUAGGAUGUUGACGAUCAGCUGAGCGCG
rnacentral:rRNA from 1 species